rnacentral:rRNA from 1 species
GACGAACGCUGGCGGCGUGCCUAACACAUGCAAGUCGAACGGGGCAGCAAUGCCCAGUGGCGAACGGGUGCGUAACACGUGAGGAACUUGUCCAUCGGCGGGGGAUAGCCGGCCCAACGGCCGGGUAAUACCGCGUACGUCGGCGAGACCGCAUGGUCUUGCCGGGAAAGCAGCAAUGCACCGAUGGAGAGCCUCGCGGCCUAUCAGCUAGUUGGUGAGGUAAUGGCUCACCAAGGCGACGACGGGUAGCUGGUCUGAGAGGAUGAUCAGCCACAUUGGGACUGAGACACGGCCCAGACUCCUACGGGAGGCAGCAGUGGGGAAUAUUGCGCAAUGGGCGAAAGCCUGACGCAGCGACGCCGCGUGUGGGAUGACGGCCUCGGUUGUAA